CACCGGAGCUUGCUCCACCGGAAAAAGAGGAGUGGCGAACGGGUGAGUAACACGUGGGUAACCUGCCCAUCAGAAGGGGAUAACACUUGGAAACAGGUGCUAAUACCGUAUAACAAUCGAAACCGCAUGGUUUUGAUUUGAAAGGCGCUUUCGGGUGUCGCUGAUGGAUGGACCCGCGGUGCAUUAGCUAGUUGGUGAGGUAACGGCUCACCAAGGCGACGAUGCAUAGCCGACCUGAGAGGGUGAUCGGCCACAUUGGGACUGAGACACGGCCCAAACUCCUACGGGAGGCAGCAGUAGGGAAUCUUCGGCAAUGGACGAAAGUCUGACCGAGCAACGCCGCGUGAGUGAAGAAGGUUUUCGGAUCGUAAAACUCUGUUGUUAGAGAAGAACAAGGAUGAGAGUAACUGUUCAUCCCUUGACGGUAUCUAACCAGAAAGCCACGGCUAACUACGUGCCAGCAGCCGCGGUAAUACGUAGGUGGCAAGCGUUGUCCGGAUUUAUUGGGCGUAAAGCGAGCGCAGGCGGUUUCUUAAGUCUGAUGUGAAAGCCCCCGGCUCA
rnacentral:rRNA from 1 species